GCCAGACUCCUACGGGAGGCAGCAGUGGGGAAUAUUGGGCAAUGGGCGCAAGCCUGACCCAGCAACGCCGCGUGAAGGAAGAAGGCUUUCGGGUUGUAAACUUCUUUUCUCAGGGACGAAGCAAGUGACGGUACCUGAGGAAUAAGCCACGGCUAACUACGCGCCUGCAGCCGCGGUAAUACGUAGGUGGCAAGCGUUAUCCGGAUUUACUGGGUGUAAAGGGCGUGUAGGCGGGGACGCAAGUCAGAUGUGAAAACCACGGGCUCAACCUGUGGCCUGCAUUUGAAACUGUGUUUCUUGAGUACUGGAGAGGCAGACGGAAUUCCUAGUGUAGCGGUGAAAUGCGUAGAUAUUAGGAGGAACACCGGUGGCGAAGGCGGCUUACUGGACGACAACUGACGGUGAGGCGCGAAAGCGUGGGGAGCAAACAGGAUUAGAUACCCGAGUA
rnacentral:rRNA from 1 species